UGGAGGACCGAACCCACUACCGUUGAAAAGUUAGGGGAUGACGUGUGGAUAGGAGUGAAAGGCUAAUCAAGCCCGGAGAUAGCUGGUUCUCCUCGAAAACUAUUUAGGUAGUGCCUCUCGUAUCACCAUUGGGGGUAGAGCACUGUUAAGGCUAGGGGGUCAUCCCGACUUACCAACCCUUUGCAAACUCCGAAUACCUGUGAGUACUAUCCGGGAGACACACGGCGGGUGCUAACGUCCGUCGUGGAAAGGGAAACAACCCAGACCGUCAGCUAAGGUCCCAAAGUUACAGUUAAGUGGGAAACGAUGUGGGAAGGCUUAGACAGCUAGGAGGUUGGCUUAGAAGCAGCCACCCUUUAAAGAAAGCGUAAUAGCUCACUAGUCGAGUCGGCCUGCGCGGAAGAUAUAACGGGGCUCAAACUGUACACCGAAGCUACGGAUGCGUGUUUACACGCAUGGUAGAGGAGCGUUCUGUAAGCUGUUGAAGGUCAAGGUGUGAACCAGGCUGGAGGUAUCAGAAGUGCGAAUGCUGACAUGAGUAACGAUAAGGGGAGUGAAAAACUCCCCCGCCGGAAAUCCAAGGUUUCCUGUCCCAUGCUAAUCAGGGCAGGGUGAGUCGGCCCCUAAGGCGAGGCUGAAAAGCGUAGUCGAUGGAAAACAGGUUAAUAUUCCUGUACUUCUUUAUAUUGCGAUGGAGGGACGGAGAAGGCUAAUCGGGCCAGGCGUUGGUUGUCCUGGUUUAAGGUUGUAGACUGGGGUCUUAGGCAAAUCCGGGACCCUAAAGUCGAGAACUGAUGACGGUGAGAUUACGAUCUCCGAAGUCGAUGAUGCCAUGCUUCCAAGAAAAUCUUCUAAGCUUCAGAUAUAAAGAAACCGUACCCCAAACCGACACAGGUGGAUAGGUAGAGAAUACCAAGGCGCUUGAGAGAACUCGGGUGAAGGAACUAGGCAAAAUGGUACCGUAACUUCGGGAGAAGGUACGCCGGUGAUUGUGAUGAGACUUGCUCUCUAAGCGAUCGUCGGUCGAAGAUACUAGGUGGCUGCGACUGUUUAUUAAAAACACAGCACUCUGCAAACUCGUAAGAGGACGUAUAGGGUGUGACGCCUGCCCGGUGCUGGAAGGUUAAUUGAUGCGGUUAGCUUCGGCGAAGCUGUUGAUCGAAGCCCCAGUAAACGGCGGCCGUAACAAUAACGGUCCUAAGGUAGCGAAAU
rnacentral:rRNA from 15 species